rnacentral:rRNA from 1 species
GAUGAACGCUGGCGGCGUGCCUAACACAUGCAAGUCGUACGAGCUCGAUCUUCGGAACGGGUUAGUGGCGCACGGGUGAGUAACACGUAGGUGACCUACCCCAGAGUGGGGGAUAACUUCUCGAAAGAGAGGCUAAUACCGCAUACACUCGGUCAUUCAUUUGGCCGAGCAAAGCUCCGGCGCUUUGGGACGGGCCUGCGUCCGAUUAGCUAGUUGGUAGGGUAAUGGCUUACCAAGGCUUUGAUCGGUAGCUGGUCUGAGAGGACGAUCAGCCACACUGGCACUGACACACGGGCCAGACUCCUACGGGAGGCAGCAGUGAGGAAUAUUGGGGCAAUGGGCGAAAGCCUGACCCAGCAACGCCGCGUGAGGGGAU